rnacentral:rRNA from 1 species
AUUGAACGCUGGCGGCAGGCCUAACACAUGCAAGUCGAACGAGUGGCGGACGGGUGAGUAAUGUCUGGGAAACUGCCUGAUGGAGGGGGAUAACUACUGGAAACGGUAGCUAAUACCGCAUACCAUCGGAUGUGCCCAGAUGGGAUUAGCUAGUAGGUGGGGUAAAGGCUCACCUAGGCGACGAUCCCUAGCUGGUCUGAGAGGAUGCCCGGCCACACUGGAACGGGGACACGGACCAGGCUCCUCCGAGAGGCAGCAGUGGGGAAUAUUGCACAGUGGGCGCGAGCCUGGUGCAGCCAUGCCGCGUGUAUGAAGGAGGCCUUCGGGUUGUAAAGUACUUUCGGCGGGGAGGCGUUACCCGCAGAAGAAGCACCGGCUAACUCCGUGCCAGCCGCCGCGGUAAUAC